GUGCUAGGAUUACGGCCUAUUACUUUUAAUUGUAGUAAAAAAUACAUAACAGAAAAGGUGCCAUCUUAACCAGUUUUAUUUGUACAGUUCCAUAGUGUUAAGUGCUUUCACCUGGCUCCACUCUAGAUUUACAUUGUGAUUUCUCACAUACAGAAUGCUGCGGAGAGACACAGUCAACCUCAAAGAAAAGGCAGAGACUUGGAGACUGACUUUGCUGAGAAAAAUACAGAAGGAAUUCCAAGGCUCUUCCGGCUACGAGGACUGACCACACAGGUCUGCUGGCACAGUUGUGUAACCCAAGACUGAAGCUGCAAACCAAAGUAGCAAUGCCAGCAGGCAGCAGGCAGAGCAGAAGACUCUCAGGGCCAGGAAGGCACAGGGAAAAUGUUCUGUGAACCUGAAGGAGAGACCCACUGUCACGGCAGAGCAAACCGAACGUGGCUACAUGAAGCGGAAUGGCUGCUUUGCCCUCCGUUUAUCAAGGUCUUUGGAGAUGCCAAUUGGCAGGAUGCCAACGGCCCCUUCUGAGUGGUGUUCUGGGGACCUCUCAGGCCACAGUUCCGUGAGCACUGGUCCUUUCCCUCUGCCCAUCUGUCAUUGCCCGACCUGCCACCACCACCCCCCCAGGCGCUCCCCUGCUCUCGCCCUGCAGAGAGAGGAGAAGUCUGCAGUUAGGUGAAUUUUCUUCACUGACAUCCUCAUCCUUCGGAGGUCUUGGGAAGAGUCUGCAGAGAUAAAAAGAGAAGAAAUUAAUCUAUUCCCAAGAGAGGGCCUGCCUCAGCUGGCUGACAGCUUAAUCUCCCCGGGCUUCCCAAACAUUCCUUUUAUUUUAAUGCGCUAGCUUUUUAUAAAGUACUGUUGAAAAGAAACAGAAUUUUGGAUAAUUGGGCAGUAGCAGCAUCUUUUAAAGCAAAAUGGAUACAGUCUAUGAAUGGGAUCUGUAAUAAACACCAUAGGAGACAGGCCUUAGUUUUUAGCAACAAGAAGCAUUUAGCCCUCUAUCCUCUCCUUAGCUACAUUCUCACUUCUUGGCUUUUUCCCCCUGCAUGGAUUUUGAUGUCAAAAGGAAAAGGAGGCAUUGCUCACGUAUGCAUACCCGUCCCUCCAUGGAUCAUCUCUGGGGCCCCAGGACCAGCUAAAUGUUGGGGGUUAUUGUUGGAGCCACCCAGCUCGUCCCUGGCACCGUCCUCUUCACCACAGCCCGUUGUCCCCUCUCUCUUCUCAGAACAUCUCAGAAGUGAUUGCUCGGUGA